UGGAAGAAAUAUUGUUUUCCUUUCUUCUCUUUCUUUCGGUCAUAUUUCUCUCCACGCCAAAACAAUCUCUUCACCAUUUUAUUAUCCAAACUUUCAGAGCUUUCUUUUGAGAGAAGAUUUAGAGAGAACCUGAGGAAGAAGAAGAAGAUUUCUUAGUUCUAAGGUUGAAGAAGUAGGGAAAAAACUCAAAGGACGUUUCAAUCAUGGCAGAUUUUCACCCACUCUGCACACUUCUAGUUUCUUAUUUGGUUUGAUCUUUUCAAGAAGAACUAAGAGAUGAAGUUUGAAUUUCCUGAAAGACCAUGAAUUUAUUAUUGUAUCACGUGCAUAAUAAGAUGUUACGUAUAAAGCAUCUUUGCAAAUAUGGUUUUACAGUGGUAGAUUCGUCAUUUAUGACUGGCAUCAACGAAGAACCCACAAUUAUUCAACGGCUUUUUGAUGAUCGUGUGCUAACACCAGACAAUAAGAAGGUUAAAUGGACAAACACAACAACACACUUAGCUUUAUGGUUGGAAAGCGAUUUAGAUUACUAUUUUAAUUCAGCUAUUGGUUCAAUCCAAGAUAAAGUAGGGUGCGCAGAUGUCAACUACGUGAUUGGCUGCAUCAACAGAAAAGAACAUUGGUUGGCUAUUGCAGCUGACGUGAAGAAAUGCAAGAUCUAUGUGUUUGACUCUAUGCCAAAAUAUGUUGAACAAAAACUUGUUGAUGUAGCUAUUGCAAUACCUGCAUGAUGCAUCCUCUCAUUGGCAAUUGCUAUUGGAUUACAUGAGCAAAGAAAACAUUUCAAGUACGGCCCUUGGCCAGUAGUAAGAUCGAAUACCACAUUACAAAAAGACA